rnacentral:rRNA from 1 species
AUUGAACGCUGGCGGCAGGCCUAACACAUGCAAGUCGAACGAGCGGCGGACGGGUGAGUAAUGUCUGGGAAACUGCCCGAUGGAGGGGGAUAACUACUGGAAACGGUAGCUAAUACCGCAUACUAUCGGAUGUGCCCAGAUGGGAUUAGCUAGUAGGGGGGGUAACGGCUCCACUAGGCGACGAUCCCUAGCUGGUCUGAGAGGAUGAUCAUCCACACUGGAACUGAGACACGGUCCAGACUCCUACGUGAGGCAGCAGUGGGGAAUAUUACACAAUGGGCGCAAGCCUGAUGCAGCCAUGCCGCGUGUAUGAAGAAGGCCUUCGGGUUGUAAAGUACUUUCAGCGAGGAGGCGUUACUCGCAGAAGAAGCACCGGCUAACUCCGUGCCAGCAGCCGCGGUAAUUC